UGGGGAAUUUUGGACAAUGGGCGAAAGCCUGAUCCAGCAAUGCCGCGUGCAGGAAGAAGGCCUUCGGGUUGUAAACUGCUUUUGUACGGAACGAAACGGUCUGCUCUAAUACAGCGGGCUAAUGACGGUACCGUAAGAAUAAGCACCGGCUAACUACGUGCCAGCAGCCGCGGUAAUACGUAGGGUGCGAGCGUUAAUCGGAAUUACUGGGCGUAAAGCGUGCGCAGGCGGUGAUGUAAGACAGUUGUGA
rnacentral:rRNA from 1 species